rnacentral:rRNA from 1 species
GAUGAACGCUGGCGGCGUGCCUAAUACAUGCAAGUCGAGCGAACAGACGCGGAGCUUGCUCCUCUGACGUUAGCGGCGGACGGGUGAGUAACACGUGGAUCACCUCCCUAUAAGACUGGGAUAACUUCGGGAAACCGGAGCUAAUACCGGAUAAUAUAUUGAACCGCAUGGUUCAAUAGUGAAAGACGGUUUUGCUGUCACUUAUAGAUGGAUCCGCGCCGCAUUAGCGAGUUGGUAAGGUAACGGCUUACCAAGGCAACGAUGCGUAGCCGACCGGAGAGGGUGAUGCGCGACACGGGAACUGAGAGACGGUCCAGAGUCCUACGGGAGGCCGCGGUAGGGAAGGUUCCGCGAUGGGCGAAAGCUUGACGGAGCAACGCCGCGUGAGUGAUGAAGGGCUGCGGGUCGUAUGACUGUGUUAUUAGUGAAGAACAAAUUUGUAAGUAACUAUGCGCGUCUUGACGGUACCGGAUCAGAAAGCCCCGGCUAACUACGUG